UACUCAGUUCAGAUUGCAGGCUGCAACUCGCCUGCAUGAAGUCGGAAUUGCUAGUAAUCGUAGGUCAGCAUACUACGGUGAAUACGUUCCCGGGCCUUGUACACACCGCCCGUCAAACCAUGAGAGUUGGCAACACCCGAAGUCGGUAGUCUAACCGCAAGGAGGACGCCGCCGAAGGUGGGGUUGAUGAUUAGGGUUAAGUCGUAACAAGGUACC
rnacentral:rRNA from 1 species